rnacentral:rRNA from 1 species
UACGUAGGGGGCCAGCGUUGUCCGGAAUCAUUGGGCGUAAAGCGCGCGUAGGCGUCAGGUAAGUCCGGUGUGAAAGUCAAAGGCUCAACCUUUGAAUGCCGCUGGAAACUGCCUGACUUGAGUCCGGUAGGGGCGAGUGGAAUUCCUGGUGUAGCGGGUGAAAGUGCGCAGAUAUCAGGAGGAACACCAAUGGCGAAGGCAGCUC